UACCCGCAGCCCGAGUGGUGCUCGUUAUUAUUGGGCCUAAAGCGUCCGUAACCGGCUUCGUAAAUGCCUAGGGAAAUCGUCGUGCUCAACACGACGAAGGCCUGGGUAGACUGCGAGGCUCGAGACCGGGAGAGGCCAGAGGUACUCCAGGGGUAGAGGUGAAAUUCUGUAAUCCUUGGGGGACCACCGGUGGCGAAGGCGUCUGGCUAGAACGGAUCUGACGGCGAGGGACGAAGCCCUGGGGCGCAAACGG
rnacentral:rRNA from 1 species